AGAGUUUGAUUCUGGCUCAGGAUGAACGCUAGCGAUAGGCUUAACACAUGCAAGUCGAGGGGUAACAUGUCUUCGGAUGAUGACGACCGGCGCACGGGUGAGUAACACGUAUGCAACCUACCCAUAACUGGGGGAUAGCUCGUCGAAAGGCGAAUUAAUACCGCAUAAAGCAGGGAUACCACAUGGUAAUAUUUGCUAAAGAUUUAUUGGUUAUGGAUGGGCAUGCGCUCCAUUAGAUAGUUGGUUGAGGUAACGGCUCACCAAGUCGGCGAUGGAUAGGGGAACUGAGAGGUUUAUCCCCCACACUGGUACUGAGACACGGACCAGACUCCUACGGGAGGCAGCAGUGAGGAAUAUUGGUCAAUGGGCGAGAGCCUGAACCAGCCAAAUCGCGUGAAGGAUGACGGUAUUAUGUAUUGUAAACUUCUUUUAUCAGGGAAUAAAGUUAGGGACGUGUCCUUAUUUGUAUGUACCUGAUGAAUAAGCAUCGGCUAACUCCGUGCCAGCAGCCGCGGUAAUACGGAGGAUGCGAGCGUUAUCCGGAUUUAUUGGGUUUAAAGGGUGCGUAGGUGGAUGGGUCAGUCAGCGGUGAAAUCUCGAUGCUUAACAUCGAAACUGCCGUUGAAACUUCCCAUCUUGAGUGUGAACGAGGUAGGCGGAAUUCGUGGUGUAGCGGUGAAAUGCAUAGAUAUCACGAAGAACUCCGAUAGCGCAGGCAGCUUACCAGGCCACAACUGACACUGAUGCACGAAAGUGUGGGUAUCAAACAGGAUUAGAUACCCUGGUAGUCCACACAGUAAACGAUGAAUACUAACUGUUUGCGAUAUACAGUAAGCGGUACAGCGAAAGCGUUAAGUAUUCCACCUGGGGAGUACGCCGG
rnacentral:rRNA from 1 species